UACGAAGGGGGCUAGCGUUGCUCGGAAUCACUGGGCGUAAAGGGUGCGUAGGCGGUUCUUUAAGUCAGGGGUGAAAUCCUGGAGCUCAACUCCAGAACUGCCUUUGAUACUGAAGAUCUUGAGUUCGGGAGAGGUGAGUGGAACUGCGAGUGUAGAGGUGAAAUUCGUAGAUAUUCGCAAGAACACCAGUGGCGAAGGCGGCUCACUGGCUCGGUACUGACGCUGAGGUGCGAAAGCGUGGGGAGCAAACAGG
rnacentral:rRNA from 1 species